rnacentral:rRNA from 1 species
GAUGAACGCUAGCGGUGCGCCUAACACAUGCAAGUCGAGCGCCACUUCGGUGGAGCGGCGAACGGGUGAGUAACACGUUGGAAUCAGCCCCAGACUCAGGGAUAACCUUCCGAAAGGAGGGCUAAUACCGGAUAGUCUCGUAAGAGUAAAGCUUUUGCGGUCUGGGAGGAGCCUGCGGUCUAUCAGCUUGUUGGUAAGGUAAAAGCUUACCAAGGCUAUGACGGAUAGCUGGUCUGAGAGGAUGAUCAGCCACAAUGGAACUGAGACACGGUCCAU